GCCCGUGUAGCUCAGUUGGUAGAGCAGCUGAUUUGUAAUCAGCAGGUCGCAGGUUCGACUCCUGUCGCGGGCC
rnacentral:tRNA from 2 species